rnacentral:lncRNA from 1 species
CUCAAUCAACAUACAUAAACAUGUUAUCAAUCAAAUAGAUAAGUAAACCACAUUCACGAUUUAUGAAAUCAUAAUUGGAAGAAAUCAAGUCAUAUAAAACAUAUGAUCAUGGCUUUGAAUUCCCCUCUAACUAUAAAUAAAUUAGUUCCUCAUGUUCGCAAAUAAACAAAGAUAAAUAAAUUUAAACAUUAAAACAAAGAUAGAAAACACCUAGAAUCGCUCCACAAUCCAAGCUCCUUGAAUGGCAUGCACGGCUCCAAGUUGUCUUCCUUCUUCUCCUUGCAAACUCACGGCACAAGAGGGGUUUAUGGGUGAAUGGUGUAGUGAAAAUAUGGUAGAGGAUGGUGAAUGAAAGGGUGCGGCAAUGGGUUGUAUAUAUAGGCUGAAAAUCCCAUCUCCUCGAUAGCCAAGGACAAGGUUUUAAAGACCUAAACUGCAUAGGAUAAUAACAUACAAUCCUACAAGGAAAACAAGUCAAAAACCCAAAGGAAUUGGGAGAUAAGGUGCGGCACAAAGAUAGGAAGGGAUAAGGUUUCUAGAAAUCUCAUUUUAAGCAUCCUAAUCUAAUUAGAAACCCUCCUAAGUGGCUGGAAUGUGGAUAGUUUAGGAUAAGGAUAAGAUAGGAUAGGAUAAGGUUUGUUUGGAUAAGAUAAGCUAAAAUAAGGUUAUGGAUGAGGUUUUGGAUAAGAUCCUUAUCUUGAGCUGAUUCUUUGACUUUAAUUCUUCUUCUUCAUGUAGGAAACCUUGCUUGAGUAGGAAACUUCAUGUGUCUAGGAAUCCAUCUUCAAUUAGGACUCCUACAUUGAUUAGGAAUCCUUCUUCGUUUAGGAAUCCUUCAUGUAAGCCAUUUCCUACAUCAACUAGGAAACUUUGUAUCUUCAAUUCUUCAACUUUGAAACGUCUUCCUAGCUUCAUCAAUCCCUCAAAUUCGUCCAUCCCUUGUGCUUCAUGUGCAUGAACGCCAUUUUAGCCCAAUUUUGCUCCAAAACGCUCCAAAUUGCAUCCUUUUGCUCACUUUGUCUCUAAAACCUGAAAACACAUGAAACUAGCUUAAAAGACUAACUUUAACUAAGAAAACACAACAUAAAUGCAUAAGAACUAACUAACUAAGGCGCAUAAAUAU